rnacentral:rRNA from 1 species
UACGUAGGGUGCGAGCGUUAAUCGGAAUUACUGGGCGUAAAGCGUGCGCAGGCGGUUUUGUAAGUCUGAUGUGAAAGCCCCGGGCUUAACCUGGGAAUGGCAUUUGGGACUGCAAGGCUUGAGUGCGGCAGAGGAGACUGGAAUUCCUGGUGUAGCAGUGAAAUGCGUAGAUAUCAGGAGGAAUACCGAUGGCGAAGGCAGGUCUCUGGGCUGACACUGACGCUCAUGCACGAAAGCGUGGGGAGCAAACAGG